GACGAACGCUGGCGGCGUGCUUAACACAUGCAAGUCGAACGGAAAGGCCCUGCUUUUGUGGGGUGCUCGAGUGGCGAACGGGUGAGUAACACGUGAGUAACCUGCCCUUGACUUUGGGAUAACUUCAGGAAACUGGGGCUAAUACCGGAUAGGAGCUCCUGCUGCAUGGUGGGGGUUGGAAAGUUUCGGCGGUUGGGGAUGGACUCGCGGCUUAUCAGCUUGUUGGUGGGGUAGUGGCUUACCAAGGCUUUGACGGGUAGCCGGCCUGGGAGGGUGACCGGCCACAAUGGGACUGAGAUACGGCCCAGAAUCCUACGGGAGGCAGCAGGGGGGAAUAUGGCACAAUGGGCGGAAGCCUGAUGCAGCAACGCCGCGUGCGGGAUGACGGCCUUCGGGUUGUAAACCGCUUUCGCCGGUGACGAAGCGUGAGUGACGGUAAUGGGUAAAGAAGCACCGGCUAACUACGUG
rnacentral:rRNA from 1 species